rnacentral:rRNA from 2 species
UACGUAGGGACCAAGCGUUGUUCGGAUUUACUGGGCGUAAAGGGCGCGUAGGCGGCAAUUCAAGUCAGUUGUGAAAUCUCCGAGCUUAACUCGGAACGGUCAACUGAUACUGUUUUGCUAGAGUACAGAAAGGGCAAUCGGAAUUCUUGGUGUAGCGGUGAAAUGCGUAGAUAUCAAGAGGAACACCUGAGGCGAAGGCGGGUUGCUAGGCUGAUACUGACGCUGAGGCGCGAAAGCUAGGGUAGCAAACGGG